CAGUAGCCGCGGGAAUACGGAGGGAGCUAGCGUUGUUCGGAAUUACUGGGCGUAAAGCGCGCGUAGGCGGUUACUCAAGUCAGAGGUGAAAGCCCGGGGCUCAACCCCGGAACUGCCUUUGAAACUAGGUGACUAGAAUCUUGGAGAGGUCAGUGGAAUUCCGAGUGUAGAGGUGAAAUUCGUAGAUAUUCGGAAGAACACCAGUGGCGAAGGCGACUGACUGGACAAGUAUUGACGCUGAGGUGCGAAAGUGUGGGGAGCAAACAGGAUUAGAUACCCCAGUAGUCCCUGUCUCUUAUAC
rnacentral:rRNA from 1 species